ACAGUGGACGCGAGCAUCUUUGUAGAUUUUGACAAGCUACUAAGUGCGGUCGGUGGAUGCCUUGGCACCAAGAGCCGAUGAAGGACGUUGUAACCUGCGAUAAGCCUCGGGGAGCUGGUAAACGAGCUGUGAUCCGGGGAUGUCCGAAUAGGGAAACCUUGAAGUUACCGGAGUCAUGUCCGGCGACCUCUGCCUGAAUGUAUAGGGCAGUUGGAGGGAACGCGGGGAAGUGAAACAUCUCAGUACCCGUAGGAAGAGAAAACAAUAGUGAUUCCGUGAGUAGUGGCGAGCGAAAGCGGAAGAGGCCAAACCUUUACUGUGUGAUAGCCGGCAGGUGUUGCAGUGGGGGUGUUGUGGGGUUGUUCUUGGUUGUGCUGCCGUGCGACCGGGGAGUAAGAAAUGAUCAGUGAAGUCGAAGCGUCUGGGAAGGCGUGGCGUAGAAGGUGAGACUCCUGUAGACGUAUGCUGGUCACUCCCUUGAGUGAUUCCCAAGUAGCGCGGAACCCCUGAAAUUCCGCGUGAAUCUGGCGGGACCAUCCGCUAAGCCUAAAUACUCCUUGGUGACCGAUAGCGGACAAGUACCGUGAGGGAAAGGUGAAAAGUACCCCGGGAGGGGAGUGAAAUAGUACCUGAAACCGGCCGCAUACAAUCCGUCGGAGCUUUGCCCUUUGGGGUGGGGUGACGGCGUGCCUUUUGAAGAAUGAGCCUGCGAGUUAGUGGUACGUGGCGAGGUUAACCCGUGUGGGGUAGCCGUAGCGAAAGCGAGUCCUAAUAGGGCGUUUCAGUCGCGUGCUCUAGACCCGAAGCGGAGUGAUCUAUCCAUGGCCAGGGUGAAGCGACGGUAAGACGUCGUGGAGGCCCGAACUCACUUGGGUUGAAAACCGAGGAGAUGAGCUGUGGAUAGGGGUGAAAGGCCAAUCAAACUCCGUGAUAGCUGGUUCUCCCCGAAAUGCAUUUAGGUGCAGCGUCGUAUGUUUCUUACCGGAGGUAGAGCACUGAAUGGUCUAGGGGGCCCACAAGCUUACCGAAAUCAGUCAAACUCCGAAUGCCGGUAAGUGAGAGUGCGGCAGUGAGACUGUGGGGGAUAAGCUUCAUAGUCGAGAGGGAAACAGCCCAGAUCAUCAGCUAAGGCCCCUAAGCGAUAACUAAGUGGAAAAGGAUGUGGAGUUGCGGUGACAACCAGGAGGUUGGCUUGGAAGCAGCCACCCUUGAAAGAGUGCGUAAUAGCUCACUGGUCAAGUGAUUCUGCGCCGACAAUUUAGCGGGGCUCAAGUUAUCCGCCGAAGCUAUGGCAUUCACAUGUUUAGGCCGUGAGGCUGUGUGGAUGGGUAGGGGAGCGUCGUGUGCGCGGUGAAGCGGCGGGGUGACCCGGCCGUGGAGAGCACACGAGUGAGAAUGCAGGCAUGAGUAGCGAAUGACGGGUGAGAAACCCGUCCGCCGAAUAUCCAAGGGUUCCAGGGUCAAGCUAAUCUGCCCUGGGUGAGUCGGGACCUAAGGCGAGGCCGACAGGCGUAGUCGAUGGACAACGGGUUGAUAUUCCCGUACCGGCGAAAUAUCGUCCGUGUUGAGGCGAGUGAUGCUAAGCGCGUGAGGCCGGCCGUCGGACCUUCGGGUCUGUGGUUGGUUGAGUGCGUGACCCGAUCUUGUAGUAGGCAAGCUGCGGAGGGACGCAGGAAGGUAGCUCUUCCCGGGUUUGGAUAUCCCCGGGCUAAGUGUGUAGGGCGAGGUGUAGGCAAAUCCGCACCUCAUGUGUCUGAGACAUGAUGGGUCGGCCGCAUGUGUGUGGUCGUAAGAGUGAUCCUAUGCUGCCUAGAAAAGCUUCGUGAGCGAGAUAUGAGCCGCCCGUACCCCAAACCGACACAGGUGGAUAGGUAGAGAAUACCAAGGCGAUCGAGAGAAUCGUGGUGAAGGAACUCGGCAAAAUACCCCCGUAACUUCGGGAUAAGGGGGACCCGAUGCGUAGUAGAACUUGCUUCGAAAGCGUUGAGGGUCGCAGAGACCAGGCCCAAGCGACUGUUUACUAAAAACACAGGUCCGUGCUAAGUCGUAAGACGAUGUAUACGGACUGACUCCUGCCCGGUGCUGGAAGGUUAAGGGGAAGGGUUAGCCUCACGGCGAAGCCUUGAACUUAAGCCCCAGUAAACGGCGGUGGUAACUAUAACCAUCCUAAGGUAGCGAAAUUCCUUGUCGGGUAAGUUCCGACCUGCACGAAUGGAGUAACGAUUUGGGCGCUGUCUCCACCACGAACUCGGCGAAAUUGCAGUACGAGUAAAGAUGCUCGUUACGCGCAGCAGGACGGAAAGACCCCGGGACCUUUACUAUAGUUUGGUAUUGGUGAUCGGUGUGACUUGUGUAGGAUAGGUGGGAGACUGUGAAGCCCGGACGCCAGUUCGGGUGGAGUCAUCGUUGAAAUACCACUCUGGUCACUCUGGUUAUCUAACUUUGGACCGUUAUCCGGUUCAGGGACAGUGCCUGAUGGGUAGUUUGACUGGGGCGGUCGCCUCCUAAAAGGUAACGGAGGCGCCCAAAGGUUCCCUCAGCCUGGUUGGCAAUCAGGUUUCGAGUGUAAGUGCACAAGGGAGCUUGACUGCGAGAGAGACAUCUCGAGCAGGGACGAAAGUCGGGACUAGUGAUCUUCUGGUGGCACAUGGAAGCGCCAGGACUCAACGGAUAAAAGGUACCCCGGGGAUAACAGGCUGAUCUUGCCCGAGCGUCCAUAGCGACGGCAUGGUUUGGCACCUCGAUGUCGGCUCGUCGCAUCCUGGGGCUGGAGUCGGUCCCAAGGGUUGGGCUGUUCGCCCAUUAAAGCGGCACGCGAGCUGGGUUUAGAACGUCGUGAGACAGUUCGGUCCCUAUCCGCUGCGCGCGUAGGAGUCUUGAGAAGAGCUGUCCUUAGUACGAGAGGACCGGGACGGACUAACCUCUGGUGUGCCAGUUGUUCCACCAGGAGCACGGCUGGUUGGCUACGUUGGGAAGUGAUAACCGCUGAAAGCAUCUAAGCGGGAAGCACGCUUCAAGAUGAGGGCUCCCACAGAUUAAUCUGGUAAGGCCCCCUAUAGACCAUGGGGUGAUAGGUCGGAUGUGGAAGUGCAGUAAUGCAUGGAGCUGACCGAUACUAAUAGGCCGAGGGCUUGUCUU
rnacentral:rRNA from 1 species